rnacentral:rRNA from 1 species
AAAACGCUCGUAGUCGGAUUUCGGGGCGGGGCGGCCGGUCUGCCGAUGGGUACGCACUGGUCGCCGCGCUCUUCUUGCCGGAGGCGCGGCCUACUCUUCACUGAGCGGGCCGUGAACUCAGCACGUUUACUUUGAAAAAAUCAGAGUGUUUCAAGCAGGCAGCUCGCUCUUGCAUGGAUUAGCAUGGGAUAAUAAAAUAGGACUUUGGUGCUAUUUUGUUGGUUUCGAACACCAGAGUAAUGAUUAACAGGAACAGUCAGUGGCACUCGUAUUCCGCCGAGAGAGGUGAAAUUCUUUGACCAGCGGAAGACGAACAACUGCGAAAGCAUUUGCCAGGGAUGUUUUCACUGAUCAAGAACGAAAGUUAGGGGAUCGAAGACGAUCAGAUACCGUCGUAGUCUUAACCAUAAACCAUGCCGACUAGGGAUUGGAGGGUGUUCCUUUUGAGACCCCAUCAGCACCUUUCGGGAAACUAAAGUCUUUGGGUUCCGGGGGGAGUAUGGUCGCAAGGCUGAAACUUAAAGGAAUUGACGGAAGGGCACCACAAGGGG